rnacentral:rRNA from 1 species
GGACUACAGGGGUAUCUAAUCCCAUUCGCUACCCACGCUUUCGUGCCUCAGCGUCAAUAAAAGGCCAGUGUGCUGCUUUCGCUUUCGGUGUUCCCCAUGAUAUCAACGGAUUUCACCCCUACACCAUGAGUUCCGCACACCUCUCCUUCAUUCUAAGUCGUGCCGUUUCGCGCGCAUUCCCCAAGUUAAGCCCGGGUCUUUAACGUGCGACUAACACGACCGCCUACGCACCCUUUACGCCCAAUAAAUCCGGAUAACGCUCGGGGCUCUCGUAUUACCGCGGCUGCUGGCAC